rnacentral:rRNA from 1 species
CAGCAGCCGCGGUAAUACAGAGGGGGCUAGCGUUAUUCGGAAUUAUUGGGCGUAAAGGGCGCGCAGGCGGCCCCGCACGUCCGUUGUGAAAUCUCUCGGCUCAACUGGGCGGGGUCAGCGGAUACGGCGUGGCUUGAGCAAGCUAGGGGGCAAUGGAAUUCCCGGUGUAGUGGUGGAAUGCGUAGAUAUCGGGAGGAACACCAGUGGCGAAGGCGGUUGCCUGGAGCUUUGCUGACGCUGAGGCGCGAAAGCGUGGGGAGCGAUCCGGAUUAGAUACCCGGGUAGUCCACGCCGUAAACGAUGUCCUACUAGGUGUGGGGGGUAUCCACCCCCUCGGCGCCGCAGCUAACGCAUUAAAUCGACCGCCUGGGGACUACCGCCGCAAGGCUAAAACUCAAAGGAAUUGACGG